rnacentral:misc_RNA from 1 species
CGAGGCGCGGCUCACGGAGCGCACCGAGGUACAUGCCUCG